rnacentral:lncRNA from 1 species
CCCAGGAAACAGUCACAAAAAGAAAAGAAAGAAAGAAGAGGAAGAGAAAGGAGAAGAAAACAAAUCAGGCACUACAACCAUACCAUAAAGCAAUCUGUGUCCAGGACAGGAAGCAUCCAAGUGAAAAUCCUUCAUUGGCUUCAGAUGGAUGGUGGCCCAUAUUUUACAGACGGAUGCUUUAAUGCUGUGAGCCUGUGCAGUGUCAUUUGGAAUAUUUUGUUACAUCUAGAAGUAGAAUUUAGCACCUUGAUGAUAUUAAAGUUCCCAGUCUCUUCAAGACCUAAGAUGCUAUUCGUCUGACAUGAGAACUUACUCCAAUAACAGUAAAAUCCACCAGCAAGACUAACUGAAUAAAUCAGGAAAGGCUUGCCAGACAACGUACCCUAAAUUCUAGAUACCAGAGUGUUAGACAUGCAAAGGAGGCAGAAUCACAGACCAUGAAUAGGCACUGUCACCCAAUAGCAUAGACUUGAAUCCUGUCUUUAACAUUAUAUGGCUAUGUGACCUAAGGCAAGUUCAAAUCUCUCUCUGAUUCAAUUUUCUGAGCUAUAAAAUAGAAAUACAACAACAAGAAGACACCUACUUGUAUUUGUUGUGAGCAUUAAAAGAGUUAAUACCCAUUAAGUGUUUGGAACAAUAUCUGGCACAGAAUAAAUGUUCAAAUAGAGUGAACUACAAUGAUUUAAAUGUUGCACUUUGAGCAAUGAAUUUGGAAAGGGACCUCAGUUUUUAUUAUCAAAAAGCAAAUAGGUUUUAAUUUCUAGAUGGAAUUCAAAGGCUGCUUAAAUAAAACCAGUAGAACAGUGUAAUGUAAAUAGUUAGAGCCAAAGUGAUGAAAUUUGAGAAACUGCAGCACAUCCUGGCUCUGCUCUCAAAAGUUGAGGAACUUUGAAUUAAAAACUCAGGUAUUCUAAGUUUUAGUUUUCUUUAGGAUAAUAUCAGAUAAUAAUAUAUACUCUAUAGUUUCUUUGUUGAGAAGACUAUAUGAGGAACCUCAUAUGUGGGGAUAUAAUUACUACAUAUUAAAUUAUGCUUUCCUGUUUUCUAAGUUUUAUUUUUAUUUCUAUCUUAAGUUUUGGGGUACCUGUGCAGGAUGUGCAGGUUUGUUACAUAGGUAAAUGUGUGCCAUGGUGGUUUGCUGCACCUAUCAACCUAUCACCUAGG